rnacentral:rRNA from 1 species
UGGGGAAUAUUGCACAAUGGGCGAAAGCCUGAUGCAGCAACGCCGCGUGAGGGACGACGGCCUUCGGGUUGUAAACCUCUUUUAGCAAGGAAGAAGCGAAAGUGACGGUACUUGCAGAAAAAGCGCCGGCUAACUACGUGCCAGCAGCCGCGGUAAUACGUAGGGCGCAAGCGUUAUCCGGAAUUAUUGGGCGUAAAGAGCUCGUAGGCGGUUUGUCGCGUCUGCUGUGAAAACCCGAGGCUCAACCUCGGGCCUGCAGUGGGUACGGGCAGACUAGAGUGCGGUAGGGGAGAUUGGAACUCCUGGUGUAGCGGUGGAAUGCGCAGAUAUCAGGAAGAACACCGAUGGCGAAGGCAGAUCUCUGGGCCGUAACUGACGCUGAGGAGCGAAAGGGUGGGGAGCAAAACAGGCUUAGAUACCCUGGUAGUCCACCCCGUAAACGUUGGGAACUAGUUGUGGGGUCCAUUCCACGGAUUCCGUGACGCAGCUAACGCAUUAAGUUCCCCGCCUGGGGGAGUACGGCCGCAAGGCUAAAACUCAAAUGAAUUGACGGGGUCAUAGCUGUUUCCU